rnacentral:pre_miRNA from 1 species
UACUGCAUCAGGAACUGAUUGGAUAAUAAUGAAUCACCAUCAGUUCCUAAUGCAUUGCC